UGCAGUCAUUGAGACGAGGGUUUUCGGGGAUCCGAAAAGAGCGAAAGGAUUGGAUUGAUCUUUAAAGAGUAAAGGACACAGCGGAGAGUCCAAGAUUUCCUAACAUUAGCCGGAAUAGUUUAAUAACCACUGACAUUUAUCAGAGAUUAUCAUGCAAAGCAACUUUUAGUGCUGACUGGGGCUUAGACUUAUGACAUUUCCAUUGCCAGCAUAACACUCCAUUUGUGGAGCCAUUCACCCAAACUGCGUCUCUCAUCGUCACGGACUCUAUCUCCCAACUAAAAGGGGAAAGAGAAUGUAAAAUAUAUUCGCUAGACUUUCCCAGGGAAGAUAUUUCACCUGUUUUUACACCAAAGUGAAAAUGGAAAUGGCUGAUGAGGACGUCCUCCACCUAACCCGGGCUGCAGCGAGGUGUCGUGAAGCUGCCUCAGGUGUUUGCCCUGCUCCUCCCCCAGGAAGACACCUUUACUCGAAGUGUGCCAUCUCCAGGGAGCGAUGGAAACAAUUUGCGAGCAUCUGGCCGUCCCCAGGGGGGGGGGCGAUUCUGAGGAAGCCGCAGUCAGUGAAAGAUUAGCGAUUUUAGCCUUAGAGAGAGCUUUUUGAGCUGCUGGGGAUGCAGCUGUGUAACACGCUGGCAGCGGGGGUAACCCCGUACAAACCCUCCUAUAACACAACACCCAUCUCAUUCCCUUCACCAAUUUUUUUCAAUCAGGACGACGUCACAGGCUGUGUACCUUUGGUUACAAUACUGGUAGGGACCAAAUCAGACCUGAACCCCAUGAAACACUCCAACAAUAUUGGUUGGGACAUAUCUCAGUAGUAUCCAAAUUUACACCCCUGUCCUUUGGUCAAAAGAUUACAUAAUAAGUCAACAAUUCCCUCGCCAUAUUAAAUAGAAUAAGCUUUCUUAUUGUGUUUUUUUUAUGCACCGUUUUUAUUACUUGUUGCGUUGUAUGAUGUUAUGCUAUAUAUGAAGCAUGUCUAAGAGGAAUUUCUGUUACUUUGUAACGGACAACAGAAUUUUCUUGAAUCCGAAUCUUGAAUCUCUUUUUGCUCAUUGCAGGGAUUUGUGAUAAUCAUGCAGAGCCAGCUAGCCCUCAAAUUGGAAGCUUCAGAAAUCGCAGCCCUUUGAGCCAAUCGUACGUUAAUUUCGAAACAGUGCAUUUAUCAGAUGUUGCUUUUUGCGAACAGGAAAAAUGUGUCUGAAUUUACACGUUCUCUCCUUUUCACAAAUCGUGUAAAUAAAAAAAUGAAUUAGAUCA